GAUGAACGCUGACAGAAUGCUUAACACAUGCAAGUCAACUUGAAUUUGGGUUUUUUAACUUAGAUUUGGGUGGCGGACGGGUGAGUAACGCGUAAAGAACUUGCCUCACAGCUAGGGACAACAUUUGGAAACGAAUGCUAAUACCUGAUAUUAUGAUUAUAAGGCAUCUUAGAAUUAUGAAAGCUAUAUGCGCUGUGAGAGAGCUUUGCGUCCCAUUAGCUAGUUGGAGAGGUAACGGCUCACCAAGGCGAUGAUGGGUAGCCGGCCUGAGAGGGUGAACGGCCACAAGGGGACGGAGACACGGCCCUUACUCCUACGGGAGGCAGCAGUGGGGAAUAUUGGACAAUGGACCAAGAGUCUGAUCCAGCAAUUCUGUGUGCACGAUGACGUUUUUCGGAAUGUAAAGUGCUUUCAGUUGGGAAGAAAAAAAUGACGGUACCAACAGAAGAAGUGACGGCUAAAUACGUG
rnacentral:rRNA from 1 species